rnacentral:lncRNA from 12 species
UGGGGCGUGCCGUAUCAGCACUGAAAAUGUGCUGCCCUGCUUUGCAGAAGGGAACAUUUUUAUUAGAAAUUUGAACCCUUUGACAGAGGCUCCCAGAGCAGCGAGCCUGGUGCAGCUGCGAGCGCGGCCGUGGCAAAACUGCUGCUCCAAAGUGCCGGCAACUUCUGGAGGAGAGAAGAGAAACUCGGCCCAAGGCACUUGUGUCCAAGCAUCUGCCUGGAGCCUGAAGAGCCUCUGUUCUCCUGUGAGCUCGUGCCCCAGUGCUGGAAGCAGAAGGCAGAGCCCCUGCAGCUGCAGAGGUGGGUGAGGAACGUGGUUG